CCCACUCCCACUAAGUGCGAUUAUACUGGGUUGUUGUUGUUGUUGUCUCAUAGGAAUGUUAAUGCUGCUUCAUUUUUCUAUUAUCGUUUGUCAGGAACUUGACAAGGCAAUGGACAAGGAAGAAUUUCGCAUAUUCAGUGAAAAGAUUUUGUCCAUGAUUAGCCAAUGAAGACUUAAACAGAAGCAUGAUUUCUUGACUAUGAAUGGUAUUGUAACAAUGGAAGAUUUUCCCCCAUGUUUCAGAAGCUAUCGUUAAGUUGUUCGGGCACGGGAUCAUAUCUACCAAGAAGAUUUUGCUAGGAUCAUGUAACUGCAGACAGUUCACAGAUUUAGCAUCUCCUUAAACACUGUGCUUAGGCAAAACAAUCUGAUUUUCUCCCCGCAGCUUAGUUCAUUCUAAGCUUCGCGAGCCCGUGGAUUUUUCCCUUUGCUUCUGUUUCCAAUUAUUUGUACCUUGAAUGAAACGUGUAGAUAACUUUUUUUUUUUUAAUUUAUGAAAGUUCAGACAAAAUAUUUCCUUUCUCUUUUAGACCAAGGGUGAAACCAGGAAAGAAAGAUAUGAUUAUCUUGCAGCA